rnacentral:misc_RNA from 1 species
GAAAAAUGCAAGUGAAUGGGGCAACUGACCUAGCAUCUAAGUCGCAAAUUGUCUCGGACAGCAGUAAUGUAAAGUUAAAAGAGGAAAUUGAAGAAGAUACUUACCAGAUGGAGAUUCGAUGUCUCUGUGGAAGCUCGCAACAAGCUGAUAAGAUAAUUCAGUGUGAAAAUAUAAGAUGCCGUGCAUGGCGACAUGUGAGCUGUGUCAUCAUUCCGGAAAAACGCAGGGAAGCGGGUUCUCCUCUAGCUUUACCUGAAAAAUUUUACUGUGAAUUUUGCAGAUUGAGUCGCGCAGAUCCGUUCUGGGUGACGGUGUCAAUGCCUUUAUUUCCUACUAAGUGGGCUGUCACUAGUGCACCUUUAGAUAGCACAAACCAAAUGCAAAGGAUUGAAAAAUUAUUUUCCCUCAGUAGAGACGACAUGGAGUUAUUGACGAAGCAGGAAUACGAUGUUCAGGCUUGGUGCAUGCUUCUCAAUGACAAGGUAGAAUUUAGGAUGCAGUGGCCUCAGUAUGCUGAUUUGCAGGUCAAUGGAGUUCCAGUACGUUGCAUAAAUAGACCUGACUCACAAUUAUUAGGUGCAAAUGGUCGAGAUGAUGGUCCAAUAAUCACACUAUUCUCCCGAGAUGGAAUGAACAAAAUUUUGUUAACAGGAUGUGAUGCUCGCAUCUUUUGCUUUGGAGUUAGACUUGUACGGCGUCGUACUCUCGUACAGGUUCUCAAUAUUAUCCCUAAAGAGCCAGAUGGUGAGGCAUUUGAUGAUGC